AAGUUAAAUAAGGGCGUAUGGGGGAUGCCUAGGCUCUCAGAGGCGAAGAAGGACGCGAUAAGCUGCGAAAAGCUGCGGGGAUCGGCACACACGAAAUGAUCCGCAGGUAUCCGAAUGGGGCAACCCACUAGUUUGAAGAACUAGUACAUCGCAAGAUGGGCAAACCCGGGGAACUGAAACAUCUAAGUACCCGGAGGAGGAGAAAACAAUAGUGAUUCCGUUAGUAGUGGCGAGCGAAAGCGGAUUAGCCCAAACCGAUGUUGUUUCGGCAAUAUCGGGGUUGUAGGACCACGAGAUUUGGUGCGUAAUGAACUGGAACAAGUUGGAAAGCUUGGCCGUAGAGGGUGAUAGCCCCUUACAGGUAAAGACCGUUACCGAUAGUGGUAUCCUGAGUAGCGCGGGGCACGUGAAACCUUGCGUGAAUCUGGCGGGACCAUCCGCCAAGGCUAAAUACUCCUGAGAGACCGAUAGUGAACCAGUACCGUG
rnacentral:rRNA from 1 species